AGAGUUUGAUCCUGGCUCAGGACGAACGCUGGCGGCGUGCCUAAUACAUGCAAGUCGAACGCUUUUUUUUUCACCGGAGCUUGCUCCACCGAAAGAAAAGGAGUGGCGAACGGGUGAGUAACACGUGGGUAACCUGCCCAUCAGAAGGGGAUAACACUUGGAAACAGGUGCUAAUACCGUAUAACAAUAGAAACCGCAUGGUUUCUAUUUGAAAGGCGCUUUUGCGUCACUGGUGGAUGGACCCGCGGUGCAUUAGCUAGUUGGUGAGGUAACGGCUCACCAAGGCAACGAUGCAUAGCCGACCUGAGAGGGUGAUCGGCCACAUUGGGACUGAGACACGGCCCAAACUCCUACGGGAGGCAGCAGUAGGGAAUCUUCGGCAAUGGACGAAAGUCUGACCGAGCAACGCCGCGUGAGUGAAGAAGGUUUUCGGAUCGUAAAACUCUGUUGUUAGAGAAGAACAAGGAUGAGAGUAGAAUGUUCAUCCCUUGACGGUAUCUAACCAGAAAGCCACGGCUAACUACGUGCCAGCAGCCGCGGUAAUACGUAGGUGGCAAGCGUUGUCCGGAUUUAUUGGGCGUAAAGCGAGCGCAGGCGGUUUCUUAAGUCUGAUGUGAAAGCCCCCGGCUCAACCGGGGAGGGUCAUUGGAAACUGGGAAACUUGAGUGCAGAAGAGGAGAGUGGAAUUCCAUGUGUAGCGGUGAAAUGCGUAGAUAUAUGGAGGAACACCAGUGGCGAAGGCGGCUCUCUGGUCUGUAACUGACGCUGAGGCUCGAAAGCGUGGGGAGCGAACAGGAUUAGAUACCCUGGUAGUCCAUGCC
rnacentral:rRNA from 1 species